rnacentral:rRNA from 1 species
AGAGUUUGAUCAUGGCUCAGGACGAACGCUGGCGGCGUGCCUAACACAUGCAAGUCGAGCGGAGAAUGCAAGAUGUUUACAUUGAGCAUUCUUAGCGGCGGACGGGUGAGUAACACGUGGGUAACCUGCCUCAGAGUGGGGGAUAGCCUUUCGAAAGGAAGAUUAAUACCGCAUAAGCUUGUAGCAUCGCAUGGUGCAGCAAGAAAAGGAGCAAUCCGCUCUGAGAUGGACCCGCGGCGCACUAGCUAGUUGGUGAGGUAACGGCUCACCAAGGCCACGAUGCGUAGCCGACCUGAGAGGGUGGUCGGCCACAUUGGAACUGAGACACGGUCCAGACUCCUACGGGAGGCAGCAG